ACUAGUCACACACCUGCUAGUCUACUCACGCACGGCCACUACCACUCAACGCCUUAAGUUCUCUGGAAUUGGCGGUGCCUCCAACCCACCUAGAGGAGCUUGUUCUAUAAUCAAUAAUCCACGAUCCCCUAACCACUCCUUGCCAACACAUCCUAAAUACCGCCGUCGCCGGCUCACCUCUAAAGAAAAAACAACAGUGAGCCAAACACUCCCCACUAACAAGACAGGUCAAGGUAUACCCCAUGGGGGGGAAGAAAUGGGCUACAUUUUCUAGCAUAGAACAUAACGGAAAAGAGCGUGAAACUCGCCCUUAGAAGGAGGAUUUAGCAGUAAAGUAGGACCACACUCCCCUUCAAGCCUUCUUAAAGACGGCUCUGAGGCACGUACACACCGCCCGAACACAAUAACGGCCGCCCGUCACCCUAACACACCGCCAGUC
rnacentral:rRNA from 1 species